ensembl:lncRNA
UGACUGAAUCAGUCGCUUACGCAGUUCAUCUUGGAGCAUCAGCCAACAAAACGUGAUAAAGCAGGCCCUGAGGGAAUGGAUCGUAGAAAAGGCAAUGUUUUACAGAAGACGGCGUGGAGCCUGAUCCGGAGCCGGGAACACAUUCCAGGUGGCAGAGCGGGAGGAGCAAAGCAAUGCAGAGUGUGUAUAAAUUGUCUCCGUGGGUGGAGGCACCGAGGAUUUUCCCUACCCUUUCCAGUCUGGGGCCAAAUGGAAGUGCACAGUUUGCCUUUGGCCAACAUUACAUCAUAUUUCCCAGAGGUCUGUGCUUUCUUUGUUCUUGUUGCUUCAAAUAAACAAAUUUUUUUAAAAAGACUUGUUAUUUUUCAUGAACUUCAUUUGUCAUGGGUUUGAACCUUUCCUGACAUUGUUCAAAGUUUGUUUUACCGUUUCCUCACAUUUCAUUUCAUUUGAAAUGUAUCACAUGCAUACAUCCCACAUAUGGAAGAUAAACGUGUUUUCUGUGAGUCGUCGGAAGUCCAGUCAUACAUGAGUGAAAUUCAAAAUGUGAACAAAGCAAGAAGUGCACAUUUUUGCAAGAUUGGCACAUCUGAAGAUCAGCAUGCUCCACUUCCAGAACUCCACUUCCCAGCCUUCCCAUUUCCUUCUUCAUUGAUGAGUUGCUCUGCAGGAAAUGUUUCUUGGGAAAGCUGCUGGUAGAUGGUCCGCUCACUCUUGGAUGGGAACCCUCUAGGAUCCCCUGAAUCACCUCCACAAUACCACCCUGCUAUCUGUUCUAGGAAAUGUCCUGUGCUUCCCAGAGGAAGUUAUAUAAUCUGGGCCUUCAUUCAUACAUUCAUUCAUUGAACACAUGUUUAUUGAGUGUCUGCUAUGUGCCACACACUGUCCUAGGUGCUUGGGAUCCGUUGGUGAACAAACAGCCCUCCUGCAGCUUAACAUUGCAGACAUUCCAGUGGGACUUGAACGAUGAAAAGAUGGAGAAAAGAAACUUUAGGCAGAGCUACUGGCAUGUGUUAAUGCUGCAAGUCAGAGAACAGCAUGAUAGGUUAUUGGCAAUUGCUGUGGAUUCUUCAAAAAUGCUGGAGUGUAAUAUGUAAGCUAAGGAGCAGCUGGGAGUUUGGGAGAGGUGGAAGGGGUUCCGUAAAGACGGCACUGACUACUCCUGGGUCUGCCAAAAUUUCUGGCAUGUCAUAAUCAAGUAUUUGUUGAAAUGGAGUUAAAAAGCUAAGUCAAAGGUUAUUUUGUAAAGUUCUUAUAAAAACUGUGAGUAUUUGGGGAUUAUGGCAGGUUUUGAUGAUUGAAUAAAUGAAGGAAGGAAGAAAUGAUGUAAGAAAUCAGAACAGAGGAAUGGUAGAGUCACAUUUCUGUUUCUGAAAGAUAGUUAUUGUGUCAGUUUAGCAAGAAGGGGACUUUAAACAAAACAGAAAAGAAGGGAACAGAUAGAACACUAACAAGAGCCCAAGGAGGGGACAGUAAGGACAAGAAUCAGGGCCGGGCCCUGCACACCUCAUGCUCCCCUCACACAGACCCCAUGAGAACCGUUUGAUAGAACAAAGACGAACAUGGCCCCCCAGGGUCAGGUGGCGGGUCAGCCUCAGCAUGAACUGUAGCAGCAACCAUGGAAAUGAACAGUAGAUACCAGAUGAAAGAUACUUGGGUAAGAGUGAUGAAUUGGACUUGCUGGCUGAUUGGAUUUUUUAAUUUUAUGGUUUAUGACAGAAGUAGUGAAGAUUACUUAUAGUUUUUCCAUAAAUUUUAUUUGUGUGACCACAGUGUUCAUUUUUAGGUCAACAUUAUCAAACCAGAGUACAGAUUAACAUUUCAAAAAUUUGAAGAGGCAUUUUUUAAAUCUACUUGUUAUUUACUGACAAGCUAAUAACCAUGAAGUUUGCUGCUGUCUCUGUACACGCCAGUCUAGUCAAAUGCACACUUCAUUUCCCUUAGGAAGAUUUUUAAUUUAUCAUGAUAUCCCCCUGACUGGUUCCAGUGUCCUCUCUGCCUAGAUGUCUGCUAUGUUUGGAGACUUUAUCAUACCACUUAAUACUUGAUCAUAUAUUUCUUUCUAAAUGUUUCUUGCUUGUUACUCUAAAGCUCCCAAUACUUCUAAUAUAAUCUUCAUGAGGGCAGUUCCUCUUCACACGUUAGAGGUGGGUUAACAGUGGGGUAAUCCAAUAACAUAAUUAAUCUCAUCAUUCAAGUUCAGUACAGCACUUAGCAAAAGCAAAGCCUCCCUUGUAAGUAAAACCAUUAAUGUUUUAAAUUUAUAUUUUCAGUCAAGUGAUUUUUUUUGAAACGUCUUCAGAUAAAAAUUAAUGUGUUAGAAAAAAUAGUAAAUGUCUUCCCGUCUUAGCAUUCGAAUGAUUAAAAGUCACUGAUCUGUUCUUUGGGGGCCAUUUAAUUUUUUCAUUUCAAAAGUUUAUUGCAAGUUUGUAAGAUUUCAUGUUUCUCAGUUUCUAUUUCCAAUGUGUGGAUGUUAUUUCUAUAUUUGUUAAAAAUGUGUCUGCAUUUUGCACAUUUCUAAGAUGAUCUGCAGGUGUGAAGUUUCUGUUCAGAUUUUUAAGUAACUUGGUUUUUAAAAUCUUAUCUUUACAUUAGAAACUCUAAGGUGCUGAGGGUUGAUUUAUCUUUUCAGUACACUGGUCUCGUUUUUAAUGGCUUAUUCAUUUUUAAACUAAAUUAAGAAUGUAUAUAAAAAGCUUUACUAAUAAAAUGUUGUUGUUCUUCAGGUCAUGAUUUGAGACCUUCUGCAAGAUAAAGGGACUGUAAAGCAGGUGGCACAAUAAAUUUGGUUAGAAAUAAAAGAGAAUCAUUUUUUUCCAAACGUUACUGAGAUUUCCUGGAAGAAUAAUUUUGGAGCAGGCAAGGGUAGGGGAGCAUAUUAACUGUAUUUGCUGUAAAUUGACUUUACACUUAAAAUCCAUGCAGUGUUACUCCCAGAUUAGGUUUCAUCAUGGGGUCCCAGAUAACGAGCAAAACCCAUUUCACUGGACGCACAACAGGUCAAAGUUAGAUCACGGAUAUGAAUGACAACUGUCUGAGAUUCUGGUCUCAUCAACUGUACCAGGUCAGUAGAGUUGAUCUCCUCUUAGCAAUAUCUUCUUCCCCACUAACCACACCCCAGGUUCUCUGCCUGAAACUGAGCGGACAAUGAAAUCAUAUGGUCUAAAACAGGAGGGUCCCUAUUUGACCACUAAGUAGCUCUGCCGCUCCGCUAGAAAUCCGGGGCAGAGUUAUACACAAAUGUUGAUUGCAUGCCCAGAAUCAUUCAUUUAAACCAACUGCACUGGAGUCGCAAAACAGAGACAGAAACUGAGAUAGCAGGAAAAGGAUGAGGAGGGAGAUAACACUUCUCAGUUCACCCUCAGUCACACUGACUUAUGGUACUGACCUUUCUGAUCUCUGCUUCCUCAUUCUGAAAAAUGGCCAGCAGCUAUAGCUCAGGAAAGGGUCAAGACCGAAAACCAUUGGCAAAUGUUCCUAAUCUAUUUAUAAGAGAUCAAGAAAACCACUGCAUGAACUUGACCUUUAACACAACUUCUUCAUACCCAUAUCAAUUUUCUUAUUUGCUAGUGAACUCUUU